UCCUCGUUAGGUGAGGCUCCUGUGCUGGAGAUAUGCUGCUGCCCAAAAAUGUCCAAAGACGCCAAUGGGUCAACAGAAACUAUCGACAUAAGGUAGUUUUUAAUGUAGCUGGCUGCAAGCCUAUGCCGCACAGUGCUAAAGCUCUACGACUGGAG
rnacentral:sRNA from 1 species